GACGAACGCUGGCGGCGUGCUUAACACAUGCAAGUCGAACGGAAAGGCCCGGCUUUUGUGGGGGGCUCGAGUGGCGAACGGGUGAGUGACACGGGAGUAACCUGCCCUUGACUUUGGGAUAACUACAGGAAACUGGGGCUAAUACCGGAUAGGUGCUCCUGCUGCAUGGUGGGGGAUGGAAAGUUUCGGAGGUUGGGGAUGGACCGGCGGGUUAUCGGCCUGCUGGUGGGGUAGUGGCUGACCAAGGCUUGGCUGGGUAGCCGGCCGGACAGGGUGACUGGCCACAUUGGGACUGAGAGACGGCCCAGACACCUACGGAAGGCAGAAGUGGGGAAUAAUGCACGAUGGGCGGAAGACUGAUGCAGCAACGACGCGUGCGUGAUGACGGCCUUCGGGUGGUAAACCGCGUUCGCCUGUAACGAAGCGUGAGUGACGGUAAUGGGUAAAGAAGCACCGGCUAACUACGUG
rnacentral:rRNA from 1 species